rnacentral:misc_RNA from 1 species
GCAAGAUUAGGUUGAAAUCUUCAAAUGUGAGAAAGGAGAAGUGAAAAGCUGCCCAUGGUGAUAACUUCCAUUUUCCUAGACAGUGUAGUACUCUGUUGCCAACCAGUUUAUGAUUAUAUCAUGAUCUGGAUAUAUCGUGCAGUCGGUGGAAGGUCAAAAAGACUUAUCAUGUUUGCGGGAUUGUGAAAGCUGGACUUUGCUUGAAGGUUCAUUGCCAAAAUUUGAGUCUUUUAUGCUAUAACGAGAGAGAGAAAUCCUGUUUAUAAGCACCCAGGGGCGUCGAUGGAGACACGUUUUUUAUGGUUGGUAUGAAAAUAUUGAAUGGC